GGAUUGUGGCUCAGUGGCACAGCACUUGCCUCACAUAUAUGAGGCCCUGGGUUCAAUCCUCAGCACCA
rnacentral:tRNA from 1 species